rnacentral:rRNA from 1 species
GAUGAACGCUGGCGGCGUGCCUAAUACAUGCAAGUCGAGCGAACAGACGAGGAGCUUGCUCCUCUGACGUUAGCGGCGGACGGGUGAGUAACACGUGGAUAACCUACCUAUAAGACUGGGAUAACUUCGGGAAACCGGAGCUAAUACCGGAUAAUAUAUUGAACCGCAUGGUUCAAUAGUGAAAGACGGUUUUGCUGUCACUUAUAGAUGGAUCCGCGCCGCAUUAGCUAGUUGGUAAGGUAACGGCUUACCAAGGCAACGAUGCGUAGCCGACCUGAGAGGGUGAUCGGCCACACUGGAACUGAGACACGGUCCAGACUCCGACGGGAGGCAGCAGUAGGGAAUCUUCCGCAAUGGGCGAAAGCCUGACGGAGCAACGCCGCGUGAGUGAUGAAGGUCUUCGGAUCGUAAAACUCUGUUAUUAGGGAAGAACAAAUGUGUAAGUAACGAUGCACGUCUGGACGGUACCUAAGCAGAAAACCACGGCUAACUACGU